rnacentral:rRNA from 1 species
CGCGUAGACGGUUUUGUAAGUCAGAUGUGAAAUCCCCGGGCUCAACUUGGGAACUGCAUUUGAAACUGCAUGGCUAGAGUAUGGUAGAGGGAAGUGGAAUUUCCGGUGUAGCGGUGAAAUGCGUAGAUAUCGGAAGGAACACCAGUGGCGAAAGCGACUUCCUGGACCAAUACUGACGUUCAUGUGCGAAAGCGUGGGGAGCAAACAGGAUUAGAUACCCUGGUAGUCCACGCCAUAAACGAUGACAACUAGAUGUUGGGAGGGUCUGCCUCUCGGUGUCGCAGCUAACGCGUUAAGUUGUCCGCCUGGGGAGUACGGCCGCAAGGUUGAA